rnacentral:tRNA from 1 species
UCCCUGGUGGCUCAGCAGGUAAAGAACCUGCCUGCAAUGCAGGAGACACAGGUUCGAUCCCUGGGAAGGGAA